rnacentral:lncRNA from 1 species
AUGCUUGGACAGGCAUGCAAAUCUUUUCUCUUAAUGGCGCAGACAGGGUUUCUGAUUUUUCUCCUUGUUACCACACUUUUACUGGAUCAGACAGCUGGCUACUCUUCUUCCAAAGCCAGGAAGCAUAGCAAACGGAGGGUGAAAGAAAAAGAUGGAGACCUAAAGAGUCAAAUCAGCAAGCUCUGGCAAGAGGUAAACUCCUUGAAAGAAAUGCAAGCCCUGCAGACAGUUUGCCUGCGUGGAACAAAGGUGCACAAGAAAUGUUACUUGGCGUCUGAGGGAGGCAAACAUUUCCACGAAGCAAAUGAAGACUGCAUAGCCAAAGGGGGGACCCUGGCCAUCCCCAGAGANGGCGAUGAAACCAGCGCUCUCCGCGACUACAGCCGAAAGAGCUUGCCCGGGGUGACAGAUUUUUGGGUGGGUGUCACAGACAUGGUGAAUGAGGGGAAAUUUGUAGAUGUCAAUGGAAUGGUCCUCAACUACUUUAACUGGGACCGGUCACAGCCCAACGGAGGAAAGCGGGAAAACUGUGUCUUAUUCUCUCAGUCAGCUCAAGGGAANUGGGCAGAUGAAGCCUGCCGUACUGUGAAGCAAUAUAUUUGUGAAUUCCUGAUUCCUUAA